rnacentral:rRNA from 1 species
GAUGAACGCUAGCGGCAGGCUUAACACAUGCAAGUCGAGGGGUAUAGGUUUUCGGACCUAGAGACCGGCGCACGGGUGCGUAACGCGUAUGCAAUCUACCUUUCACAGAGGGAUAGCCCAGAGAAAUUUGGAUUAAUACCUCAUAGUAUAGCAGUUUCGCAUGAAACCACUAUUAAAGUUACAACGGUGAAAGAUGAGCAUGCGUCCCAUUAGCUAGAUGGUAAGGUAACGGCUUACCAUGGCUACGAUGGGUAGGGGUCCUGAGAGGGAGAUCCCCCACACUGGUACUGAGACACGGACCAGACUCCUACGGGAGGCAGCAGCGAGGAAUAUUGGUCAAUGGACGCAAGUCUGAACCAGCCAUGCCGCGUGCAGGAUGACGGUCCUAUGGAUUGUAAACUGCUUUUGUACGAGAAGAAACAACAUUACGUGUAAUGUCUUGACGGUAUCGUAAGAAUAAGGAUCGGCUAACUCCGUGCCAGCAGCCGCAGUAACAC